UCCAUUUGUCAUUCGGCGAAA
rnacentral:piRNA from 1 species